rnacentral:lncRNA from 1 species
UUAUAAGUCAUGCAAUCAUUCCUAUGGUCAUCCCCGACUAGACAUGGGAGGAACAGAAUAAAUAUUGUUGAUAAUACCAUUUCAAGAAAUAGCCAUGCAGGCAUGUAAAAAACUGUAUCACUAUUCCUCACUUAAUAGAACCUUUUAAGUCAUGCAAUCAUUCCUAUGAUCAUCCCCGACUAGACAUGGGAGGAACAGAAUAAAUAUUGUUGAUAAUACCAUUUCAAGAAAUAGCCAUGCAGGCAUGUAAAAAACUGUAUCACUAUCCUCACUUAAUAGAACCUUAUAAGUCAUGCAAUCAUUCCUAUGACCAACCCCGACUAGACAUGGGAGGAACAGAAUAAAUAUUGUUGAUAAUACCAUUUCAGAUACA